rnacentral:misc_RNA from 1 species
GAUGAAGAACGUAGCGAAAUGUGAUAAGUAAUGUGAAUUGCAGAAUUCAGUGAAUCAUCGAAUCUUUGAACGCACAUUGCGCCCGCCAGUAUUCUGGCGGGCAUGCCUGUUCGAGCGUCAUUUCAACCAUCAAGCCCCCGGCUUGUGUUGGGGACCUGCGGCUGCCGCAGGCCCUGAAAACCAGUGGCGGGCUCGCUAGUCACUCCGAGCGUAGUAAUACAUCUCGCUCAGGGCGUGCUGCGGGUUCCGGCCGUUAAAAAGCCUUAUUUACCCAAGGUUGACCUCGGAUCAGGCAGGAAGACCCGCUGAACUUAAGCAUAUCAAUAAGCGGAGGA